rnacentral:tRNA from 1 species
GUCCUCAUAGCUCAACGGAUAGAGCGCAGCCCUGCGAAGGCUGAAAUCGAGGUUCAAUUCCUCGUGGGGACACAA